rnacentral:misc_RNA from 1 species
UACGGAGGGUGCAAGCGUUAUCCGGAUUUAUUGGGCGUAAAGGGUUCGCAGGCUUUCCGUUAAGUUUUUGUUCAAAGCCCGAGGCUCAACCUCGGAGAGGGCAAAAAUACUGGCGGAAUUGAAGAAUAUUGGGGUUACUGGAACUUAUCGUGUAGGAGUGAAAUCCGUUGAUAUGAUAAGGAACACCAAGGGCGAAGGCAGGUAACUAGGUAUUUCUUGACGCUCAGGAACGAAAGCUAGGGUAGCGAAAGGG